rnacentral:tRNA from 2 species
AAAAUCCGUCGACUUUCGAAAUCGUGA